rnacentral:lncRNA from 1 species
AGCCCAGAGAUCCUUUAUUUUUUUUUGUUUAACACCUAUUAUGCCAUGAAUUCAUAGGGAAUAGGUUCCAGCAGCUCAGGCGCCUUCCCGUUGGUUCUCACAAAGUGUGCUUCCCUGGGUGGAGCAGGCUGGUGCUUUAGUUGAACCCAGGUACCUUUCUCUUUGGCUUCUUUCUUUUUCUGAUCAUUUUCCUUCACGCGUUCCAGGAAGCUAUCUCGGCUCUUAGAGUGCUUUAUGUGCUCAAUACGCACAUUAAUUCUCUUGGCAAGAAUCUUGCCCUUAACUUGUUUGUUUACAACAAUGCCAACAGCAUGCUGGGGAACAUUGUAGACUCUUCCAGUUUUGCCAUGGUAACCCUUGUGGGGCAUUCCUUUUUGAACAGUACCCAUUCCCUUGAUGUCUACAGUAUCACCUUUCUUAUAGAUUCGCAUAUAUGUGGCCAAAGGAACAUCUCCAUGUUUUCUAAAAGGCCUAGAGAACAUAUAUCCGGUGCCUCUCCUCUUUCCCUUUGUGUUCGUCAUUUUGGCGAAUUACUGGAAGAUGGCGGUUCCGGCCGAAAGGAAACCCCUUCCUCUCCUUUCUAUGCAAGUUUGAUCUCUGCUUUUCCAGAGCACCUCCUGUGAGACGGGCUUCCCACCUACAGAAGCCACAGCACCUGGACUCUUGGGCCAGCAGGGGCUUCCACCACAUGUUGACCAAGACUAGUGCCUAAGACUAACAGGGGAAGUGGGGACAGGUUGAGGACACAGGGCUGUGUGGGUGGAUCAAUGUGGCCAAGUUCUGAGUGCCAGCUCCUCAGCCUCCCAGGCUGGUGAGCAGCUGGAUUCCUGCAGGGGCCUGGGACCCAGCCCCUUGUCAUGGCUCUGAGGCUGCUGCUGGGAACACCCACCAGCCUAAUUCUCCAACCACCCACUUCUCUCAACUGGCUUUUUUCUUUGCCAGCAAAGAGUUGAAAUUCACAAGCUGCGUCAAGGUGAGAACUUAAUCCUGGGUUUCAGCAUUGGAGGUGGAAUCGACCAGGAUCCUUCCCAGAAUCCCUUCUCUGAAGACAAGACGGACAAGGUGAGGGGGUCUGGGGUCCUGGGACCGCUCCAUGGGGCACAGGGGCCUGAGAUGGUGGGUCUCUGCUUCCUGGGCCUGCAUGGAAGGAACAGACUUCAUCUCUCAAACCAUGCUCUCUAAGAAGGCAUCGGAAGUGACCUAGUGAGAAUAAGGACGGGUGGGGUGAGGAAGGGCUGCUCAGACAGAGCCCAGGAGGAGCAGGAGGCGGCCAUCAGCAGGGCCGGUGCAUGGUGGUGCAGCAACUCUGCCCCGGCUCUCUCAGAACAGUCCUCACUGACCAUAUGUGCUGGGAGAGGCUGGGUGCAGGGACAGAGGGACGGCUGAGAAUGUGCCAUGCUGGCUUCCGCUGUGUGAUAAGGGGCCAGUCCAGUGACCACAGGGCUUGACUUGGGCUGCCCCUUUCCAGGGUAUUUAUGUCACACGGGUGUCUGAAGGAGGCCCUGCUGAAAUCGCUGGGCUGCAGAUUGGAGACAAGAUCAUGCAGGUAACAGGUGUCCCAAAGGAGGAGAAACAAGGUUUGGGCAAGCAGGUCUGAAGCACUUGGGGGUGGGGAGCUGCCCCAGCCUCCCAGCUGGGAGAGACUCACUGCAGCCAAUUGGGAACCCAUACUGGCAUUGCCCCAGAGGACGCUGGCUUUCUCUCCUGUGUGUCUCAGCCACAGUGCUUGGUGUCUCCCAGCCCUGGGAUGUUAGGCUGGGGGCCUACUUGAAUGACCUGGGCCCCCAAAGCCCUCUGCUUCCAGAUCCCAGAGGGCGGGGAGCUGAGGUGAGCCUGUGUUCUCUCCUGGGGCCAGGUGAACGGCUGGGACAUGACCAUGGUCACACACGACCAGGCCCGCAAGCGGCUCACCAAGCGCUCGGAGGAGGUGGUGCGUCUGCUGGUGACGCGGCAGUCGCUGCAGAAGGCCGUGCAGCAGUCCAUGCUGUCCUAGCAGCCACCACCAUCUGCGACUCCUGCCUGCCGCCUCUCUGUACAGUAACGCCACUUCCACACUCUGUCCCCAUCUGGCUUCUGCUGACCGCUGGGCCCCAGCUCAGAAGGGCUAUAGCUGGUCCCAGAGGCCUGGCCUGGCCUUCCUUCCCUUCUCCCAUCCCUGGCCUGGGGCCUCUGGGACCGGCUUUCUCUCCUGGACACCGAGGAUUGGAAAUAAGGGCCUGGAGCUGAGUAGUAGCCAGUCUGCUGUGACCACAGGCUCAGGUCCGACCCUGCUGCUUGGCCACAGCAGUGGCUGGGCAAGUGGGAACCACUAUCUCUUGGGAGCCCCCAAAAGCUGGGAAAUGCUGGAGGAACCAGGCCUUUCCCGCUUUUGCCUGGCUGCAGGGUUCGGCUCCGCCCCUGCCCCCCAGCCCUCGUGUGUCCACACCGCAGUGCCUCUGCCCCUCGGGGGACUGGACACACAUCCUGCCAGAGGCGCUACGAAGCUUUGCCCAGAUGAAGCCAGGUGGGCUCCGCGUUCACUCCCACUCUCCCGAGGGGUGCUGGCCUCCCCAGGGUUUGCCUUCUUACGGAUUUAGACGAGGUUCGAGGCUCACCUAUCAGGGCAGCUCUCAGGAUUGUCAUUUUCCUCUUUGCCUGUGGGUUUAACUUUUGUAUUUUUUUAAUCACAAGUUUGAUACAAAAUGUUUUUAUCGUACUCUUUGGAGAUGCCCAUUCUACUUUUGAAUUUAGCUUUUACUAAUUCGCAUCUGGAAGCUCAGCAAGUGCACAAGCCUUACUUUGGUUACCGUGGAAACCACUGCCGCCCCUCCCCGAUGUGGUGCGCUCAAUAAAAAUGCUGGAAUUCACAGGGGGCUUUGCUGAGGCAUGGGCUGGGAUAUCGGGGUGGGGGUGGCGGUGGGAUAUUGGGGCCAGAGCUGUGGUUUUAAUGAUGGCCCCAUCCCCCACUGUUCUGGGACAAAGCUCAACUACUCCCAGGCCCACCUGCCUGAAAGCCCGGGGCUGGUGGAGCCGCAGCAGCUGCACUGCGCCUGACCAGAACCACAUCUGUGGGAGUGUCUGGGAGCACUGGGGUGGGACCCUGGGGUGCGUGUGCUUUCUUGGGUGUUACUGUGAAGCCCCUACUUGCUCCCAACCUCCUUUUUGCAACCUAGCCUCAGCUCCCACCUGGGAGGGGCCGUAGGGACACCCAGAGGUGCCUGGGAGAGACCCCUGCCUAUAAGACUCCCUGCCUAUAAGGGCACUCCGUGUAUCCCAGCGAGGGACACAACCCCACGUGUUGCUGGGGGCCGUGAUCUGGCCAGAUGGGGGUGAGUCAGAGAGCACCUGACUACCUGCGUACCACCUCUGGGAAGGUGUUAGCACUCCUGGACCUACCUAGCACUGCCAAAUCAGAUUUUAAAGAAAAGUCAAUAAUUUUUUUUUUUUUUUGAGAUGGAGUUUCGUUCUUGUUGCCCAGGCUGGAGUGCAAUGGCGUGAUCUUCGCUCACUGCAACCUCCGCCUCCUGGGUUCAAGUAAUUCUCCUGCCUCAGCCAACCAAGUAGCUGGGAUUACAGGUGCCCGCCACCAUGCCCAGCUAAUUUUUGUAUCUUUAGUAGAGAUGGGGUUUUGCAAUGUUGGCUAGGCUGGUCUCGAACUCCUGAUGUCAGGUGAUCCAUCUGCCUUGGCCUCCCAAAGUGCUGGGAUUACAGGCGUGAGCCACCGCACUCAGCCGGAAAAGUCAAUCAUUUGAAAUCUCUGAUUUUUAAAGUAGGGCACCCAGUAACACAUUUACUGGGUGUUGCAAGUGAAACAGGUCUGUGGACCCCGUCAGGCCAAAGUCUGCUCUGCAGAAACAAGACCUGACAUUCUUUGACGUUUGUUACAACUAGAUAGAGGAAGCGUCUGGAGAAUAAGACCCCCACUGCCCCCGCUCCCAGUGCUGGUGUGCCCUUCAGAACCUCAUCCACCCCGGCUCACAUCCAGAUUGAGUGGCGUGCCCUGGUAACCGUGAAGACACGGAGCCUGGGAGACUGACCUGGCCCUGGGCGGGUAGGCGUCUCGCGCUACCCAAGAGGGCUCCCCAGUGAAGUGUGGGGUCAGCACGCAGCGCUCUCGGGUCAGUGACCUUCACAACCUUAUGCGCUUCCUUACACGAGGGGAGCAGGGCACCUGGCUCUGAAGGCCAGCACACCUGCCUUCUGUAUCGAGCACACAGAGUGCAGAAAGGAAGCGAGUAGGUUUUAAUUCAAGAUACAGGCCCCUCGCGUUGAUCUCGUAGAAGGAAACUCAGUGGACUGACAAGCUCAAGUCAUGUAUGAGGCACGUCCUGGGACCCCCACCCCUCCUGCCAUAGGAAGGACAGCUUUGGGCAGAGGGAAGGAGGUUUGAGAUCAGGGUUGGGCCCAUACAGAUUGUGUGAGGUGGUCUCAAGUACAAAUACUUAUCUGAGGCUCCUGAACAGGCCAGAAAUUGGUGAGUCUCAAGUAGGUGUCUGGGGAAAGAGAGGGAAGGGGCCUGCCCUCGCUCCAGGGGAGCUGGUCGCCGUUUGGCAGGCCUAACAGACCUCUAAGGCACAGACUGGUAGCAGGAGAGAGCUAUGUCCUGUACUCCAGAUGCUGGGUAAGGAGCAGCUGGAUGUGCUCAGAUGGGGCUAAUCUGAGAAGGUGGAGGUAGGAGAGAGGGCAGAAGAGAGUAAGCCACUUCCAAACGUCCCUCCAAAAAAUCUGAAAGGAGUUACUAUGCUAAUGCGCUGGGCAUGAAUCCAAUUCAGAACCAAUCUGGUGGGCCCCUCAUGGCUCAGAAAUACUCUGGGUAGGGCUGGCUGUUACUGCAGUCACGGACGCUGAGUUAUGUACAGAGAGUACGUCAGGAAAGUGGCCUUCAGAGAAAGAGCCCCAUGGCCUAACCCCAAAGUCCUAGCCCGUCCACCAGCACCUCUGAGUUCACUGGCCACGGCACCGGGCUGCUUGAUCUCUGGGAAUGCAGCGGUGGCAGCAAAGUGCCCUUGGCUCACCCGGCUGCAAGGUCAGCCCUUCAAGCUGCUUGCAGAAACGCUGGUAGUUUGGGGCAAGGCCUUCGGCUGCAAGCUUGGUGCCCAGUCCUGCCUGAGACGGCUGCCAGAGCCUGUGCGCGCUGCCUGAAGCCUUAAAGAAAAGAGAUGGCGGUGUCAAGGCGACGGUGCCACGUGCCUGGCCGGGGAGGCCCAGGAGGGGCCCGGACGAAGGCAGGCUAUUGAAUGGCCUCUGGCCCCAGGAGCAGAGUGGUCUCCUCUGUCCGCACACUGAGCCAGCCCUGUGUGCCAGGGCCCAACCGCUUCUCCGGCCUUCGCUGGGUGAGGCCUUCCCCAGCAGGGCACGAGGCCAGAGGCUGGGUACACUGGGUCCCUGGGUGCUAGUUCAGCUGGUCAUACCCCGGUCUCUUUCUGUACAAACAGAAGUGCUGGAUGAAGAAGACGACGUCGAAGACGAUGGAGAAGACCCCGAGUCCAAACUUGGUUGGGUCUCCGAAGAUCAGCGUCCACUGGUCUGUUAGCAGCCGGGGGACAGAAGCUGGUGUUAGGUUGGCAGCUCCUGAGGCAGCUGGAGCUUGUGGGGUGGUGGGCGGUGGGGGUCCCAGAAAACCACAAAGCCUCCAGCUACGAAGGCCCCUAGGUGGGUCUCUCCUUGGGGGCUGGAUUGGCUUGGAUCCCAGGUGGGGGUGGAGCCCUGGCUGGAAGGUCCCGGGAAGGCUGGCCCCGCCCGAUGCCCCAGCCGCAGGGUGGCCAGCAGCCCGCUGGCUGACUCACCGUUGUUGUAGGACUGGAGGAACAUCUGCAGGAGGCUGAAGCUGCCCCCGGUGAAGUCCAGGAGCACGUUGCCAAUGCUCCAGCCCUCAGUGCUUUUGUAGUAAAAGUUCAUGUAGGCCUGGGCCAGACAGACGGACAGACAGACGGAGGGCGGUGAGGGCUGGGCGGCUGCCUCAUGCGCCUCGUGACUGCCCCUCCAAACAAAAGCGGUUCUCAUUCCUCCCACUGGGGCCUUGGCUCCAAGGACACGGUGACCUUUGGGCUAUGACAGGCCUCAGCCAAGGAACAGUUUGGGUGGUCCUGGGGGUAGGCGUCUCAUCUGCAUGUACAGCAAGCAAAGGCCCCGCACCCCCCACACCUCACAGCUCCAGCAGAGGCGGGGCCGAUGCGGCCUUCCCCGUCUCCUCCACAUCCCUGGGGCCAAGGCCCUGUGCUAGUUUCCCUGUAGCUAUGAUUCUUCUUCUCACCUCCAGGCAAGGCUGUCCCCAAACUCAGCCUGGACUUCAUGUGCUUAGGGACUGGUGGGAGUGGGACUUCUGGUUUGGAAUCCUGGCUCCAUCACCGGAGCCUGCUGUCUUGGGCAAGUGACAGUUCUCCUAGCCUUGGUUUCCCCGUCUGUAGAGCGGGGUUAACGCCCCCCACAGGCCUGGCCGGGGCUUCCUGGGUCUGGUUGGGGGGGCGGGUCUGCGGGGAUGCGCCCCAGUCUGACUGCCUGUGCCCCACGUCCUCCCAUGCUGCAGAGCCCUGUGGGUCCUCUGACUGCUGUGACCUUUCCUUCCCCCCGUGAGGCAGGUCCUGGCCUCUCUGGUGGCCUCCCAGUGAGCCUCUAGUCAGUCCCUGUCUGUGUCCCGGCUCACCCUCUUCCGUACUUGCUGCUGCCCCUCCAGCAGUUCCAAACGUCUCCAACCUGGGCUCCUCCAUCCCCGGUUUCUUGGCCCCAAUCCCUCCCACCCUCAGGGACUGGGGCCCACUUCCCCAAACCUUCCCCUCCUCGGAAGCCCCCCCCAGCUCCCGGGACCUGACCCCAGCUUCCCAGCUUCAACAUGCUCAACACUGUUCAACCAGCCACAUCCCCUCACUGCCGCCCCGUGUCCCGCCCCAGCCUCUGUGCAGGCUGGCCUGGCCCGGAACGCCCGGGCUCCUUGGCCACAGAACUUAGUCCUGCUCAGCCUAAGAGUCCAGUCCUGCCUCCCAGUCAGAACGCUGGCCCUCCUGAGCUCACAGAACACGAGGCUCCCAGGGCUGGGGGCACUGGAACAAGGCUUCUCCCUUUGGGAAUGGGGUGAGUUAAAUGAGGCCCUAGGUCCCCGGGUGCAGCAACUUCAGCCCUGACCCUGUCCCAGGCUGUGGGGCAAGAUGUGCUGGACCCUGAGUCCCCGGAUCUGAAGAGGACCGGCUAUGCUCAUAGGACGGGCUGAGCUCUGCGCGGGAAGGGGCUCCCUCCUCCCACCUCACCUCUCCAGAGUGUCCUGCUGUGGAAAUGGAGGCAGUGGUGAGGGCAGAGCCAAAGGCAUCAGGAAAGGCUGGGGUGUGGAGAAGGGGAACCACCCGCACACCUGAUGCUUAGGGGAGCGUGGGGUCCAAGGGGCCUCCGCUAGCGAUCUCCUGUGAUUCCAGCCCCGGGGGAAGAGCGGCAGGCUGGCCUCCCCACCGCCCCGCUCCCGCUGGGCUCCCGGGCUCCCUGUGGCUUUCCGUCCUGUUUCCUCACGCCGGCAGGAGCUGCCCCACCGGAGCAGGGCCUGGGCCAUGUAGCUCUCACCUCUCCUGCCACCGGCCAUGUGAACAGGGCCCUGGAGGUACCUGUGGAAAAUACUUGACCAGCGUGACUGCGAGCUUGAUGUAGGAGAAGCAGAAGAGAAACUGCAGCCACGUGGUCACUCCCACUGCAGCCACGAUCAUGGUGACAAAUGCGAAGAGCCACGCGAGCACCAGGAAGCCGAUGGCAGGCCAGGACACGCGCUGGCCACCGCGCUGGGGGCGAGAGGAGGGCAGAGAUGUGGACCCACACAGAGGCCACGCCGGGGCUGAGCAAGGACGGCCCCGGAUAGGGCGGGCUUAGAGAGGGGCACGGAGGCUGGACCCUGGCCUUGAAGGAGCCCCUGCAAGGUGGGGGCUGCACUGGGGUUGUGGCAGGGGAACAUGUGGACCACAGAAAGCAUCACACCUGGGCUGGUGCUGGACAUCCCCAGCACCAACCACACCUUCUCAUCGCCAGGGCCUCCUGUUCAGGCUGCUUGGACUCUCAAGCUCUGUCUGCUUUGUUCCUACUUGGCAGAACUGGGCGCCUCUCAGCACUCACUUGGAGACGUGGGGUCGGAACUCUGGUGGCCUGGUGCCUCUCCCAGCCAGGACCUGGAUGAAUGAACACACACCCUUCCUUUCCCAGGCUCUGCCGUGUCUUCUGUCAAAGGUGAGGUGGGGUGGCGGGUGUUGGCUGGGGUGGCCUGUGGGGGGCCAGGGCUGGUCUCACCUCAUACAGGCAGCACUGCACGAUGAUGAUCAGCGUGAGGACAACCGCGUGCAGGCUGAAGAAGACGUCGUUGCUGUUCACGGGGUUCACUCCGUUGGGGUAUUUGAGGAGAAACUGCUCCUGUUUGGUGGGUGGGAGAAGCUGGGUGGUGAGGGGCAGCCGGGCCACCACGCCAUGUGGGCAGAGAUGUAGGGCAGGCAAGGCCGUACCUUGAUGUAGGGCACCCAGAGGAGGCCGAUGUUGAAUACACUGUAGGCCACGAAGCCCGUCAGGUUCAGAGCCACGAAGUCGAAGCUCAGACCAAUGACACUGCAGGGGGUGGAGGGACAAGACAGGGCAGGGGGUGAAGACUGGCAGGGGUGGAGGGACAGGGCAGAGGGUGAGGACUGGCGGGGGUGGAGGGGCA